CAGUCGCCGCGGUAAAACGUAGGUCCCGAGCGUUGUCCGGAUUUAUUGGGCGUAAAGCGAGCGCAGGCGGUUAGAUAAGUCUGAAGUUAAAGGCUGUGGCUUAACCAUAGUACGCUUUGGAAACUGUUUAACUUGAGUGCAAGAGGGGAGAGUGGAAUUCCAUGUGUAGCGGUGAAAUGCGUAGAUAUAUGGAGGAACACCGGUGGCGAAAGCGGCUCUCUGGCUUGUAACUGACGCUGAGGCUCGAAAGCGUGGGGCGCAAACAGGAUUAGAUACCCCCGUAGUCCCUGUCUCUUAUACC
rnacentral:rRNA from 1 species